CCUACGGGCGGCAGCAGUGAGGAAUAUUGGUCAAUGGACGGAAGUCUGAACCAGCCAAGCCGCGUGAAGGAAGACGGCUCUAUGAGUUGUAAACUUCUUUUGUAAAAGGGUAAACCUGAAUACGUGUAUUCAGCUGAAAGUACUUUACGAAUAAGGAUCGGCUAACUCCGUGCCAGCAGCCGCGGUAAUACGGAGGAUCCAAGCGUUAUCCGGAUUUAUUGGGUUUAAAGGGUGCGUAGGCGGGUUGUUAAGUCAGGGGUGAAAUGUCCGAGCUCAACACGGGAACUGCCUUUGAUACUGUCAGUCUCGAGUAGAGUUGAAGUAGGCGGAAUGUGUGGUGUAGCGGUGAAAUGCUUAGAGAUCAUGCAGAACUCCGAUUGCGAAGGCAGCUUACCAACCUGUAACUGACGUUGAGGCACGAAAGCGUGGGUAUCAAACAGGAUUAGAUACCCGAGUAGUC
rnacentral:rRNA from 1 species